rnacentral:lncRNA from 1 species
GAUGGACAUCAAGCCCCAGCCUUUACCAAGAAGGUUAAAAUCCACAGAUUCAGUCUUCCAUGGUGUAGCCUCCCUCAGCCCUGAAGCAGGCCGAUCCAGACUUUGACCUUGCUGCCACUGAGAAGGAAAAUACCUAAGGUGGAGUCUUCCGACCUAGAUGGCUCUCUUGUUCUGCCACCUGCCACUGCUCUUUCCAAGACACUGCUACCUGCUGAGAGGCACCUGGUACAUUCCAGAGGAACAUCCUAUUCUGCACACCUCCUACAGACUGGCUCCAGACACCAAGAAUGGACUGGCAGGGGAUGGGCCUUCCCCUUUUAUAAGCACACUCUCUUAGUAAACGGAGAGCCUUGAGCAG